GGUGACCAGCGGAGGGNCAUUACCGAGUUUACAACUCCCAAACCCCUGUGAACAUACCACUUGUUGCCUCGGCGGAUCAGCCCGCUCCCGGUAAAACGGGACGGCCCGCCAGAGGACCCCUAAACUCUGUUUCUAUAUGUAACUUCUGAGUAAAACCAUAAAUAAAUCAAAACUUUCAACAACGGAUCUCUUGGUUCUGGCAUCGAUGAAGAACGCAGCAAAAUGCGAUAAGUAAUGUGAAUUGCAGAAUUCAGUGAAUCAUCGAAUCUUUGAACGCACAUUGCGCCCGCCAGUAUUCUGGCGGGCAUGCCUGUUCGAGCGUCAUUUCAACCCUCAAGCACAGCUUGGUGUUGGGACUCGCGUUAAUUCGCGUUCCUCAAAUUGAUUGGCGGUCACGUCGAGCUUCCAUAGCGUAGUAGUAAAACCCUCGUUACUGGUAAUCGUCGCGGCCACGCCGUUAAACCCCAACUUCUGAAUGUUGACCUCGGAUCAGGUAGGAAUACCCGCUGAACUUAAGCAUA
rnacentral:rRNA from 1 species